rnacentral:rRNA from 1 species
GAACGCUGGCGGCGUGCCUAAUACAUGCAAGUCGAGCGGACAGAUGGGAGCUUGCUCCCCUGAUGUUAGCGGCGGACGGGUGAGUAACACGUGGGUAACCUGCCUGUAAGACUGGGAUAACUCCGGGAAACCGGGGCUAAUACCGGAUGGUUGUCUUGAACCGCAUGGUUCAGACAUAAAAGGUGGCUUCGGCUACCACUUACAGAUGGACCCGCGGCGCAUUAGCUAGUUGGUGAGGUAACGGGCUCACCAAGGCGACGAUGCGUAGCCGACCUGAGAGGGUGAUCGGCCACACUGGGACUGAGACACGGCCCAGACUCCUACGGGAAGGCAGCAGUAGGGAAUCUUCCGCAAUGGACGAAAGUCUGACGGAGCAACGCCGCGUGAGUGAUGAAGGUUUUCGGAUCGUAAAGCUCUGUUGUUAGGGAAGAACAAGUGCCGUUCAAAUAGGGCGGCACCUUGACGGUACCU